rnacentral:rRNA from 1 species
UGGGGAAUAUUGGGCAAUGGGCGCAAGCCUGACCCAGCAACGCCGCGUGAGGGAAGAAUGUCUUCGGAUUGUAAACCUCUGUCCUUGGGGACAAAAAAUGACGGUACCAAGGAGGAAGCUCCGGCUAACUACG